AAGAGACUCUGGAGGUAUCAGAAGUGAGAAUGCAGGAAUAAGUAGCGAGAAUGGGGGCGAGAAUCCCCCACGCCGGAAGACCAAGGGUUCCAGGGUAAAGUUUGUCUCCCCUGGGUAAGCCGGGUCCUAAGCCGAGGCUAGAUUGCGUAGGCGAAUGGAAAACAGAUUAAUAUUUCUGUGCCACUGAUAUCAAGUGAUGGAGGGACGCAGGAGGUUAUGUACGCUGGCGAACGGAAGUGCCAGUUCAAGCAUGUAGCGUGGUCUAGUAGGAAAAUCCGCUAGACUAAACGUGAGGUGUGAUGAGGAGUCGUAAGAUGGAAGGUGCAAAUACCACACUGCCGAGAAAAGCUUCUAAGCGUUAUAAAGAUAUUAGUGCCCGUACCCCAAACCGACACAGGUGGUCAGGAUGAGAAAUCUAAGGCGGACAGGCUAACUCUCGUUAAGGAACUCUGCAAAAUAGCCCCGUAACUUCGGGAGAAGGGGUGCCUUUUAUGGUGAGCGUACACGCGACGCAAAGCUAUGAGAGGCCGCAGUGAAGAGUCUCAGGCGACUGUUUAACAAAAACACAGGUCUAUGCUAAGCUGUAAGGCGACGUAUAUGGGCUGACACCUGCCCAGUGCCGGAAGGUUAAGAGGAGGAGUGAGAGCUCCGAAUUGAAGCCCCGGUGAACGGCGGCCGUAACUAUAACGGUCCUAAGGUAGCGAAAUUCCUUGUCGGGUAAGUUCCGACCUGCACGAAUGGUGUAACGAUCUGAGAGCUGUCUUGACGGGAGGCCUGGUGAAAUUGUAUUACCGGUGAAGAUACCGGUUACCUGCAGUAGGACGGAAAGACCCCAUGGAGCUUUACUGUAGCUUGGUAUUGGGUUUUGGCAUCGUAUGUAUAGGAUAGUUGGGAGACUAUGAUGCGU
rnacentral:rRNA from 1 species